GAACAAGAUUUUUGUGUUGAUAGCUCA
rnacentral:piRNA from 1 species